GAGGCGUGUUGCAUUUCUGGGGUCAAAAGCUCUGGGAACAACUGGACCAGCACGUCUUGGUGGGUUUGCGAAUAGCACAGUGGUAGUGCAACAGCCGUCCUAGCUGUCGGUCGCGGGUUCAAUCCCCGCUUCGAUGAAAAACGCAAAGACUGGUCCAGUGGCGGACGUAAGUCGCCAAAUGCUCCGGCCCUCGGGUAACGGAGUCAUCUCAAGGGUCGCAAGCCCGCGAGGUGUCGAUAGGAAGAGCUUCGUCAGCCGGUUAGCGCCGGUGAGUGGGUCGCAAGCCCAGCGGGGAAGGAACUGUCGAGUAGUUCGCCAUGAUGGGUCAAACGCCAGACCCGCAAUCCCUUCGGGGUGCGCAAGAACGGCGGCGAUGAUCUCGGACUGGACUACCGCAAGGGGUCUGGUGGACGUCGAGGGAAUACCUGGGGUCGCACCUGGGGAAUAAUCCUCGAAGCGGGAUUGCUGAUGGGUGUAGUCUCAGCCC
rnacentral:sRNA from 1 species